GGGAAUAUUGGACAAUGGGGGGAANCCUGAUCCAGCCAUGCCGCGUGUGUGAAGAAGGCCUUAUGGUUGUAAAGCACUUUAAGCGAGGAGGAGGCUCCUAUAGAUAAUACCUAUAGUGAGUGGACGUUACUCGCNAGAAUAAGCACCGGCUAACUCUGUGCCAGCAGCCGCGUAAUAAGCUUGAUUCGCCCGGUCCAGG
rnacentral:rRNA from 1 species